UGUUUAUCCUCCUCUGUCAGAGUAGAAGAGGUGGUUUGCCUGUGAGCUCAUUAUUUUCUCUCUCCAUCAGAACAGUAGAAUCUUCCACGAGGGCAAAAAGUGAUCGACAGUGUGGAGGAUUGGUUUGUUCUUUCAAAGACGUCAGUCUUUAAACGUCUGUCCUCGGGUCAGAUGUUUGUCGCUUGACUGGAAAACUGUUUUCUAAGAAACUGUCAAUUCAGGCAUCAAGAAAAACAUUUUGAUGAGGAGGAGGGAACGUUAAUCACUCGUCCCUCUCCCAUAUUUUUCCCCAGAUGGUCUGGAAGUUUGAACCAGUGAUUUGCUUCUCGCACGCCCACUAUUCUAACCUUGAGGCUGGGCUGCGAAUGACAGCAGAGAGUUACAGCAGCAGGAGGAGGAGGAGGAGGAGGAACAGCAGAGAUAACAGGCUGAUGCCGGAGGUGAAGAAGUAAAGAGUGACUCUCAGAAUAAAACCAGUCGACCGUGUGGUCCCCCGAGGACGACUCAGGACUCCUACAAACUCACAGCUGCGUUCCACUCUGCUGCGGGCCGGGGAUGACCUGCAGAGGAGGCCAGAGACUUAGCACAGAUUUCAUAGUUCAGACGCUCAUCACAAGAGCCAGCGCUGCCCCGCUGCCCAACCAGACACUGCCAGAAUACUGAGAGGCUUCUUCACUGAGUCGAGAGGCGGAAAGUGGCUGUGGAUGUGCUGCACACAUCGUAUGACAGGCUCCACCUCUGGGACUUCCUGUCUGUUUUAGUGGGUGCUGACAGCAGUUGGAGUCCUCCAGGAGGAGGCGGCGACUCGGCACAGACGUGAGACUCCUACACUCAUUAGGAUCGACACCGAAGCUACGCUCUGAUUGACUGCAAUUUCCUGACUGUACGCCGGGCCUCUCUCUCUCUGCGGCAGCUCAGUGGGUAUUUGUGUCAAUCAGUCCCAGCAGAGAUCGUUCCUGCCCCCGCCAAUGACAGCCUGUCCGGACUAGUAGGCUGUAACGGGCUCAAUAAGGGUCUGCAGAAAACGGCGGUCCACAUGGGUGCACUACAGCCGUCAUAUGGAGUUCACUACAAAGAGAGCAUGAAGUGUGCUACCACAGGCAGGACUUUGAAGCGACUCUGCAGGCUCUGCACUGACGGAGGGAAUCACAGCGUGGACGCUCUCGGCUGAAAUGAGAUUCAGUGGGAAAGUGGCUGGCCUCGGUCUCAGUGAGAAGGUGAGGGGCUCAGUGAUCCAGCAGGACCUCUGUAUCGAGCUGCUGCCUCUACAAAUGAAGAAGAGCUGGUCGGGCUUUUUCAGCAGACACCUUGAAAUACUUAAAAAUGUUCUCAGGAAAAAAGAGAUUUCUCCAGACUGAAGCUUUGAUGUCGUCCAUCUUCAUCCAGUGUGAAGCUACUGGUUUGUAAAGCUCCAGAGACGCACGUUAGACCAUUAACCUCUAAUUUGGUGAAGUUAUCAUCAUCAACAUUGUUUUGUCUUUCAUAGGUUAUAUGUCCUUCAUGGUGUGUCCUGUGUCUGUUCUGUGUCUGUCUUUUUAUUUAUUUUUGAGUACAAAAGAAAGAAAGACUCAUUGAGAUUACAGACAAGCUCAGUUGGAAUAAGUAUAAAAUUAGAGAUGAAAAAGACACUUGAUUGAUUUGUUUUUCCAUGCAAUUUUAUUUAUUAUUUAC